UACGAAGGGUGCAAGCGUUGCUCGGAAUUAUUGGGCGUAAAGGGUAGGUAGGUGGUGAUAUUUGUCUGGGGUGAAAUCCCUGAGCUUAACUCAGGAAGUGCCUUGGAAACGGUAUCACUGGAGUGCUGGAGAGGUUCGUAGAAUUCCUGGUGUAGCGGUGAAAUGCGUAGAGAUCAGGAGGAAUAUCAGAGGCGAAGGCGACGAACUGGACAGUAACUGACACUCAACUACGAAAGCGUGGGUAGCAAACAGG
rnacentral:rRNA from 1 species